rnacentral:rRNA from 1 species
AACGAACGCUAGCGGCAGGCCUAACACAUGCAAGUCGAACGGACAUCGAAGUUGGUUCGCCAAUGGAGAUGUUAGUGGCAGACGGGUGAGGAAUACAUAGGAAUCUACCUAGUAGUAUGGAAUAGUCACUGGAAACGGUGAGUAAUACCACAUACGCCCUGCGGGGGAAAGAUUUAUCGCUAUUAGAUGAGCCUAUGCUGGAUUAGCUAGUUGGUGGGGUAAUGCCUACCAAGGCGACGAUCCAUAGCUGGCCUGAGAGGGUGACCAGCCACACUGGAACUGAGAUACGGUCCAGACUCCUACGGGAGGCAGCAGUGGGGAAUAUUGGGCAAUGGGCGCAAGCCUGACCCAGCCAUGCCGCAUGAGUGAAGAAGGCCUUCGGGUUGUAAAGCUCUUUCAGCGGGGAAGAUUAUGACGGUACCCGCAGAAGAAGUCCUGGCUAACUCCGUGCCAGCAGCCGCCGUAA